AUACGAACCGUCCAAACGUUAUUCGGAAUUACUGGGCUUAAAGGGUGCGUAGGCGGCCCGGGAAGUUGGGUGUGAAAGCCCUCGGCUCAACCGAGGAACUGCGCCCAAAACUGCCGGGCUCGAGGGAGAUAGAGGUGAGCGGAACUUAGGGUGGAGCGGUGAAAUGCGUUGAUAUCCUAAGGAACACCGGUGGCGAAAGCGGCUCACUGGGUCUCUUCUGACGCUGAGGCACGAAAGCUAGGGUAGCGAACGGGAUUAGAUACCCCGGUAGUCCUAGCCCUAAACGAUGAGCACUAGAUCGAAGGACACUCCAUAGUCUUUUGGUCGAAGCGAAAGUGUUAAGUGCUCCGCCUGGGGAGUAUGGUCGCAAGGCUGAA
rnacentral:rRNA from 1 species